rnacentral:rRNA from 1 species
CCUACGGGAGGCAGCAGUGGGGAAUAUUGCACAAUGGGGGAAACCCUGAUGCAGCGACGCCGCGUGAGCGAUGAAGUAUUUCGGUAUGUAAAGCUCUAUCAGCCGGGAAGAAAAUGACGGUACCUGACUAAGAAGCCCCGGCUAACUACGUGCCAGCAGCCGCGGUAAUACGUAGGGGGCAAGCGUUAUCCGGAUUUACUGGGUGUAAAGGGAGCGUAGACGGUCCUGCAAGCCAGAUGUGAAAGCCCGGGGAUCAACCCCGGGACUGCAUUUGGAACUGUAAGGCUAGCGUGUCGGAGAGGCAGGCGGAAUUCCUAGUGUAGCGGUGAAAUGCGUAGAUAUUAGGAGGAACACCAGUGGCGAAGGCGGCCUGCUGGACGAUGACUGACGUUGAGGCUCGAAAGCGUGGGGAGCAAACAGGAUUAGAUACCCGAGUAGUC